rnacentral:rRNA from 1 species
UACGUAGGGGGCAAGCGUUGUCCGGAUUCAUUGGGCGUAAAGAGCGUGUAGGCGGCCAGGUAGGUCGGUUGUGAAAACUGGAGGCUCAACCUUCAGAGGUCGACCGAAACCAUCUGGCUAGAGUCUGGGAGAGGAGAGUGGAAUUCCUGGUGUAGCGGUGAAAUGCGCAGAUAUCAGGAAGAACACCCGUGGCGAAAGCGGCUCUCUGGAACGGUACUGACGCUGAGACGCGAAAGCGUGGGGAGCGAACAGG